UUCCACUCACAUGUUUUCACAUUAUUCAGCAUGUUAAUUGGGUACCCACUAUUACUAGCCACCUUACCAGCACAGCAGAUGACAGAUGAACAAGGAGCACAAUCUCAUAGGAGCUUUAUCACAUGUGUUUCUAGGCUGAAAAGGCCCUUCUUUGUACUUCUUGAUAGGUGGAGUACAGGAAUGUAGAAGUCAGAAACCUAGGUUCAAACUCCAGUUCUAAGAUACAUAGUUUCUGUGUGAUUUAGGAAAAAUAAUCUCUCCGAACCUCAGUCCCCCAUCUGGAAAAUUGGUAUGAUACUUACCUCAUAAGGCUAUGGGGAUUAAUUAAAAUUAUGUAUGUAGAGCACUUUGCAGAGUAUAGAGAGUGCUAAAUAAAUGGAUGCUGGGGUUAUUAAGUGAGAGCCCUAGGAUGGAUGGAUCAUGGGUUUCCAAAUAUGGGAUGCAAUUUCAAGUUCUUAACACCAAAUAUAACCCUACUUGUUUUAGGUUCCUGGCAUUCAUCCUAUCAUCCCCAGUUUACUGCACCUCAGGUUAUUAAGGAUGUGGGAGGGAUUCUACAAGGGUAUGUUCCCCCAGAGCUUUUUGGUACCCUGCAAUCCUAGAAAUUGUUGAUGCUAGGAUGUCUGGAGAGCACUGGCCAUUUAUUACUGAGAAGUAUAUGUUACAAAGGAGAUGGGAGUAGUAAGGAAAGUUG
rnacentral:lncRNA from 1 species